rnacentral:rRNA from 1 species
AGUCGAUGAAGGACGGGACUAACGCCGAUAUGCUUCGGGGAGCUGUAAGUAAGCUUUGAUCCGAAGAUUUCCGAAUGGGGAAACCCACCAUACGUAAUGGUAUGGUAUCCUUAUCUGAAUACAUAGGGUAAGGAAGACAGACCCAGGGAACUGAAACAUCUAAGUACCUGGAGGAAGAGAAAGCAAAUGCGAUUUCCUGAGUAGCGGCGAGCGAAACGGAACAUAGCCCAAACCAAGAGGCUUGCCUCUUGGGGUUGUAGGACAUUCUAUACGGAGUUACAAAGGAACGAGGUAGACGAAGCGACCUGGAAAGGUCCGUCGUAGAGGGUAACAACCCCGUAGUCGAAACUUCGUUCUCUCUUGAAUGUAUCCUGAGUACGGCGGAACACGUGAAAUUCCGUCGGAAUCUGGGAGGACCAUCUCCCAAGGCUAAAUACUCCCUAGUGAUCGAUAGUGAACCAGUACCGUGAGGGAAAGGUGAAAAGCACCCCGGAAGGGGAGUGAAAGAGAUCCUGAAACCGUGUGCCUACAAAUAGUCAGAGCCCGUUAAUGGGUGAUGGCGUGCCUUUUGUAGAAUGAACCGGCGAGUUACGAUCCCGUGCGAGGUUAAGCUGAAGAGGCGGAGCCGCAGCGAAAGCGAGUCUGAAUAGGGCGUUUAGUACGUGGUCGUAGACCCGAAACCAGGUGAUCUACCCAUGUCCAGGGUGAAGUUCAGGUAACACUGAAUGGAGGCCCGAACCCACGCACGUUGAAAAGUGCGGGGAUGAGGUGUGGGUAGCGGAGAAAUUCCAAUCGAACCUGGAGAUAGCUGGUUCUCCCCGAAAUAGCUUUAGGGCUAGCCUUAAGUGUAAGAGUCUUGGAGGUAGAGCACUGAUUGGACUAGGGGUCCUCAUCGGAUUACCGAAUUCAGUCAAACUCCGAAUGCCAAUGACUUAUCCUUAGGAGUCAGACUGCGAGUGAUAAGAUCCGUAGUCAAAAGGGAAACAGCCCAGACCGCCAGCUAAGGUCCCAAAGUGUGUAUUAAGUGGAAAAGGAUGUGGAGUUGCUUAGACAACUAGGAUGUUGGCUUAGAAGCAGCCACCAUUUAAAGAGUGCGUAAUAGCUCACUAGUCGAGUGACUCUGCGCCGAAAAUGUACCGGGGCUAAAUACACCACCGAAGCUGCGGAUUGAUACCAAUGGUAUCAGUGGUAGGGGAGCGUUCUAAGGACAGUGAAGUCAGACCGGAAGGACUGGUGGAGUGCUUAGAAGUGAGAAUGCCGGUAUGAGUAGCGAAAGACGGGUGAGAAUCCCGUCCACCGAAUGCCUAAGGUUUCCUGAGGAAGGCUCGUCCGCUCAGGGUUAGUCAGGACCUAAGCCGAGGCCGACAGGCGUAGGCGAUGGACAACAGGUUGAUAUUCCUGUACCACCUCUUUAUCGUUUGAGCAAUGGAGGGACGCAGAAGGAUAGAAGAAGCGUGCGAUUGGUUGUGCACGUCCAAGCAGUUAGGCUGAUAAGUAGGCAAAUCCGCUUAUCGUGAAGGCUGAGCUGUGAUGGGGAAGCUCCUUAUGGAGCGAAGUCUUU